rnacentral:lncRNA from 1 species
CCCGUCCCAAAAAGUUGAAAAAUCUGCAAUUUCAAUAACACAUGUGGACACAAACAUGAUGGUAGUCUCACAUAUCAAAAAUCAGCUCAAAAUCUGGAGGGGUAUAGAAAAAAAAUCCGUAUAACUAUGAUUUUCAAUAAUUUAUCAAAGUCCAAAGCCUGUAAUUUCAGCAAAAAUUAGCGAUGCGGAACAAAACUUAUACUUGAUCUGUAACUCAUCAUGGUUAACUCACAUACAAAAAA